rnacentral:lncRNA from 1 species
GCCUGUUAGUAAACACAACAUCGUCUCCACAUGCAAGUCAUCAUGUCUUGCGUUUCUCACACCCGUGGGCUGAGGGGGCAGAGUGGUGGUGGUGGGUCUUCAAGAUAUUUCCUUUUUAUGCAUAGCCCCUUGUCGGUUUGUUUGGCUGUAGUUUCGAUUUCGGUUUCGCUUAAAAAAAAUGUACAGGUGUCACUCUUUUGUUGUGUGGAGACGGUGUGCGACUUUGGCCUUCAGCCACCUGCCGCUCGUGCAGCAUCCGCUACGGGCAGCGUAUCAGGAAAAGUUUGAAGUUUAAAGCAACUUUCCUCUUUCCUUAUCAUGUGUGGAAAAAAGUCGGCGCUUUGACGGGAAAUGAUUCAUUUCGCACCUGGAGGUUGCCCCGGCAUCGAGGCAAGACGAGUUCAGUGGCAGUCCCAUUGUGGAUGUGGUGCUACAUCGCCAGCGCUGUUUUCUGAGUCGCCAUCUCUUCGGCUGACUAAAAAACGCACCUUGUUCAGCCUUCUACAAGCUUAAAGAUCAGAACCGACGAGGAUGAUGUUGACAGCGUGUCAGAAGACGUACGUCGCAGUUGUGAUUGUGGUCUUUCUCAACACAGCCUCCACUGCCUUACAAUCUGCUGUGUUCACUGCCAGUCAAUCCAACGCGGGAUCAUGGAAGAGGUUUUGUACAACCUCCGCUAACAUCUCACAAGAAUCCUCCUCCUUGUUCUCAACUUCUGUUCUAUAUUCUCUUCAAAUUAAGGAAGAAAAUGUGUUUCAGAAGAGUCUGCAGAACGACGACGAAUUAUCUCAGGCAGUUAAUGAAGAUGAAGACACCUUACACCCGCAACCAACGAAACAAGCGAAAUCCAACGACUUACCUCCUGGGACUCUGGACAGCUUCAGCAGAUCAUUCAAGACUGGCAGACGCUUGACCUGCGUGGAAAUCGUCAGAACGGCCUGCCUGACAAUCGACAGAUUAUCCGCCCCUGCUCAGUUCGUGAGGCGGCAUUCUGAUUCUGAUUCAGAGGCGCGUAUCGCAGCCUUCAGACCUGCACCUGAAACUCGGUAAACUGCUCAGUUAAAAUGAACAGUGAACGGUUUAGUAUAGCUCACUGUUAGCUUUAAAGCACUCCGGACGAUUGAAAGUCUGCGCUGAUUCUGCUUCCAGCUUUGCGCCACGAACGCUUCUUGUUCUGAGAAUCCAGGACAUCAAAGUUCUGACGAAGUCUGGUGCAACAUCUGUUCAAGUUGUUCUUCCAUCGCGAUCUCGGGGUGCUUGUAUUUUUAGAGUAAUGUCGGACUCCACUUUUUUGUCUCUCUUUCUCUUGACAUUCUGUAGCAUGCCGUAAAGACAUUGUGGAAGUUGUAAUGAUGCUACUGAAAAAAGGCGGAACACGGUCAUGUCUACAACGCAUACAGUCUUGCGUGGAGUGUUACUACAACCUAAAAUGGCACUAGAGUUAAGGAGGGUAGUCACUACAAAAUUAACUUCUUGUAUACACAGCUCACUCAAUUCGAAUGCAAGUGCGUAAGCAAGCAGGCGUGUGUGUGUGCGUGAGAGAGAGAGAGAGAUAGAGUCUAGAACUCGAAAUAAAUAUAUAAACUUCAAUAUUUAUUUUUUCAUUAAAAUUUAUUCCAUCGAAA